CGCCGAUCCUGCCAGCCCCCUGGGGCGCCGGGUGAGUAAGCGGGGAGUCUGGGCUGCCGGUGCAGCUGGGAACAUGUGACCUCUGACAUCUGGCUGCUGGCCAGCUUCCUGAUGGGGAGAUAAGGGGCCACGCGGCAAGCGUAAGCCUGAUGCUUCGAGAUACAGGGUGGGGCCGGCUGUGAACCUCACCCGCCCGUCACCAUGGCGGGCUUUCUUAUCCGAGCACCCCUCGACGAGCCGAAGGUCACCAGCACUGGGACUCCGCCCACCCAUUCCACGCUUUGCCCCUGAGCUGAUCACCUGCCCUGGGACUGGGAAGGCGCUUGAUAAAAGUUUUUGGAAUGAA